rnacentral:rRNA from 1 species
UUCUCUAUCCAUGGGAUUGAUUGGCAUUAUCGG